UUCCAAAACAUCGAUGACAACAAAACAUACGAAUAAAAAAUAAUAAAAUUGAUUUUAUCCAAAAGUAAUUUAAAACAUGACCUGAUUAGUUUAUAUAUAGUUUUUUCUGCGUUGUAUGCAGGCAUAUUUUUUAAUUGUACAGAUCAGCUCGCGCAGCAUAUUCAAGCGCAGCGUAAAUAAGUUACGGCGUCAAUAUGCCUUUAAGGAGGACUUGCGGCCGCAUUUGUUGGAGAGCGAUUGCAACUGUUGCAACAAAGAUCGACUCUGCUCGAAUGUGGUGCACAUUGCCAACAGCUACAGAAGAAUAGAUGGUCGAGAAUAAAAGCAGUCCCGACCCAGUACAGUCGAACACACCCAGAUGCAGCACGCAGGCCUCAACGAUUCGUUCCAAGACAUUAAAGCAAACGAUGCAGCCAAAAGUACAGGCGAAAAUAAGCAUAUGAAUCGGAAGAUGACACAGAGGAGGGCGAGUUAAAGAAAAAGACAGCCCCCAAAAUGCAGCAAGUGCCCGAAGCUGAGCCAAAGCAAAAAGCAUUAGUAAAAUUCUUAAAUGUGGAACAAGCAGCCCCAAUACCAACUCCCAAACCUACAUGUCUGAAAUCCAGCUCUGUGCCAACGCCAAAGCUUGAACCGAACAAAAAAGAAUCCCUUAAAACUGACAGCAGUGCGUUAGCACUUUCGAAGCAAAUAUAUUUGGAGGAGCGCAAAAAACUGAGGCAACAAGCGGAGCCAAAGGAAGAAGGUGAAGCCUCAGUAUCGCCACUGCUGCCAGAGAAAUCGAGCUUUAACAAUCACAGCGUGGAUGGAACUCGACGGCCUUGUCCAAUGUUCCGGCUUGGCACGUGCGCUGAAGAAAUUAGCCAAAAAGCCAAUUAAACGUGCAGCCAGCACAUCACAAACGAUGUAUGAUCUUUGUUUCUCCGAUACCGCUACGGCAUUUGGCACUUGCUGGAACCAGUCAGAUGGCAAUGCCGACAAUACUGUGGUAACAUCUACAGCUGGCUGCAAGCCACCUGUAACCGUCACUAAGACCGCAGCUGUGGCCCAAUGUCCAAAUAUUAAGCUAACGAAAAAUGAAAUUUUACUGUAUGCGCCAACCGAUCGGGCGCAGAGCUGCAGCUCGAGCCACUUUAUGCUCACCGAGCCCGACCCAUCAUUGGACAACGGAAAGCGCGCAAGUUUCUUAAAUAUCACAUAGGCAGUAUCAGCAUUGAUGGUUGCUACUCGAUUUAUUAACGUCCCACUGCGAAGCUGGCGGCUAUGUUGUGUUUCGAUGCCAAUGAGUCGAUGAAUUAUGAGUCUUCCUGACUUAUUUGAUCGUGUUCAGCGUUUCGGAUGUGUCAAAUCUGUGCUGGAGAAAGGCAACGAAGGCGAUUGAUUCGCCCAAUUGUUGACUUAUUGCUAUGAGCAAUUCGUUGUGAAUACUUUUUUAAUAUAUUUCAUAUAUAAUGUUAAAUAUCUUGAAUUUUAUUAUUAUAUUUGACGAAAGUUUGUUACAUUUAAUUUUAUUUAAAAUUUCGCUAUUCACAACAAAAACAUUACUAACAUUCCAUUACGCAUUCAUCAAAUUUUCGAAAAUCCCGCCUUAACACCCACUUUUGAUCCAAAAAAAAUAACAUGCAGGUAGCAGAUCGGACGACCAUAUAAGCUUUAAUAAAAUCAAUUAAACGAAAA